GCUGGCGGCACGCCUUAUACAUGCAAGUCGAACGGAGUAGCAAUACUCAGUGGCAGACGGGUGAGUAACAUGUAGGUAUCUUCCCUUUGGUGAGGAAUAACACGAGGAAACUUGUGCUAAUACCUCAUAAGUCCUUACGGAGAAAGCUUUAUGCGCCAAUGGAUGAGCCUGCACUUGAUUAGUUUGUUGGUAGGGUAAUGGCCUACCAAGACUGUGAUCAAUAGCUGAUCUGAGAGGAUGAUCAGCCACAUUGGGACUGAGACACGGCCCAAACUCCUACGGGAGGCAGCAGUAGGGAAUAUUGCACAAUGGAGGAAACUCUGAUGCAGCGAUGCCGCGUGAGUGAAGAAGGCCUUUGGGUUGUAAAGCUCUUUCGUCGGGGAAGAAAAUGACUGUACCCGAAUAAGAAGGUCCGGCUAACUUCGUGCCAGCAGCCGCGGUAAUACGAAGGGACCUAGCGUAGUUCGGAAUUACUGGGCUUAAAGAGUUCGUAGGUGGUUAAAAAAGUUGGUGGUGAAAUCCCAGAGCUUAACUCUGGAACUGCCAUCAAAACUUUUUAGCUAGAGUAUGAUAGAGGAAAGCAGAAUUUCUAGUGUAGAGGUGAAAUUCGUAGAUAUUAGAAAGAAUACCGAUUGCGAAGGCAGCUUUCUGGAUCAUUACUGACACUGAGGAACGAAAGCAUGGGUAGCGAAGAGGAUUAGAUACCCUCGUAGUCCAUGCUGUAAACGAUGUGUGUUAGACGUUGGAAAUUUAUUUUCAGUGUCGCAGCGAAAGCAAUAAACACACCGCCUGGGGAGUACGAC
rnacentral:rRNA from 1 species